GUGUUGCAACUUGACACCCUCGUGCUCCCUUUCUGAAAUCGCUGGAAGAAAAAGUCCAUUCGAGCCGGGAGAUUCACGGACCAUUUUUUUAAAGUUUGAAGCUUGAAUAGCAUUAUAUAAUCUUCUAAACAAUUCCAAUCGCAUAGCCUGAAACUCACUUGCAACUCCUCAGAAAAUAAACCAUUUAUUUCUCUAAACAGGAGGAGGAUCACUUUUAGGAUAAAAAUGAUGUUUUGACGAAGUGAGAACUUUACUAGAGCUGAGAGCCACCAUAGAGUCUCCGGUGUGUUUUCUUUCUUCUUUCUGCGGGAUCAAUAUUUUAGAUUCGCUUUUAAUCUCUGAACCGCGUCGGUUUCAAGCUUUCGAAAUUGCUUCACCUCCCAUGAAUUCAAGUAUUUGAAGUGGAAGAGAAAAACUACUUCUAUACACAAACACUAUUUUAACUCACUUCCAGUACUGGUUGUAGGUGUGGGUGUACACAUAUAUAACGCUAGAACCUUCCUCCUUCUUGUCUUCCUUCUUUUUGGGGGGCUCGUAAUUGUUCUCGAUGGAACGAAGGACACUGUGGUGGCAAUCCAUCGCCUUUAGCACGUCGUCCACAUCAAAUUUUCCAAUCACCACCAGGCCUGACGACUCCGACUCCACUUUAUCGACCCCUGUUCAGAGAUUUCAUGGAAUCAGGGCCGCGAUCCAAUGCAAAGAUUGUGCUAUACCUUUGAUCUUCUUGAGCGCGUCGGUCUUCCCCUUGCAGCUUUCACAAGUUGAGAGUGUCGCCUUCUUCAUGCUUGCAAGGAAAGGAAAAUGGAUCGAGAUUACUACUUGCUUGCUCAAGAUGUUUGCUCAGAAAACCGAGAAAUACGCUGCGAGAUGCCUUGCUGCUAACGUUUGCGGUUUUUAUAGCUUGAUUCUACGGUACAGUCUUUGUAGGACCACGCGUCACCACCAAAUUCCUCGCGAUUUCAGCGAAUAGUCAAAGACGACCACAAUGCAGAAGAAAAUUCCACACUGUCUAGAUCCGCGUUGUUGCAACUUUAACAGUCUAUUCUUCUUAUGAAGAGGACAUUCCAACUAGCUGGGAGACCGAUUCAUCAAAGCCGCAAAAGAUUGUCGCGUUUGAGCCUAGAACUCAAGUUGAGCAGCAAAUCAUACAGCAGCAAAUGGGUGAUUCCCUACUAGAAGUGGUCGUUGCCACUAUUCCACACAUCGCGUGGCACCGUGGGAUGAACUUCAUGAUGUUCCUUCUUCUCUUCUCUCAUUAUUGUCCUUGCGGGAACAAUUUCGUGAAAGUUUCGGCCCCAAAAAGUUGUUUCCCGUGAGUUCGGACCAGUUAAUCGAUGGUUGUUUUUUACAACAUAAAAAAGGUAAGGUAGGAAAAAACUCUGCUAGUUUACUAUUCUAGAACUCCACACUGAUCGAUUAACUUUAUGGAAACGCAGGGGUGGUGAAGUGGAAUCCGAUUCUUCUGGCUCUCCAUUGAGAAGUAUAUCCUUGACUACGGCUGAGCACCGGCAUUAUUCAUCAGUUUAAUCAAAAAAUAUUCAAGUUUUGAAAAUUUAAUGCUCUGACAAUUUCGCUAGAAAAUAUCCUUAAACCCUUAUGUUAAACUGAGGGUUAAAUUUUAAACUAAAGUAUAAAGUGUGCGUGCGAAAUAAGAACCCCUAAGAACUUGGUGCUAUGCUCUUCUAGAUCAGAAGCUCCUGAAGUUGCGCCAGACACGCGCCACCUCCCUUGUUCUUGCAGAUCCAUCCAUCCCUUGCAAGUGGAAGAACAAAUAACUAUGCAGUGUUUUAGCACUUGCAAUUGUAGUGAUUGUAGGUGUGGGUGUAAACAUAUACAACGCUAGAACCACCGCCCUUCUUCUCCUUGUCCUUCUUUGGGGGCUCAUAAUCGUUCUCGACAGAACGAAGAAUGCUGUGGUGGCAAUCCAUCGCCUUGACCACGUCGUCCACAUCAAAUUUGCCGAUCACUACCAGGCCUGACGACUCCCAUUCCACCUUAUCAACCCCUGUUGUUCAAAAACAAGAAACGAUAUCAGCUUUCAAAUGUCCAAUCCAAGUUUGUACAUACCUUUGAUCUUCUUAAGCACAUCAGUCUUUCCCUCGCAGCUCCCACAAGUUGAGAGUGUCACCUUCUUCAUGCUUGCAAAAGGAGGAAAAAUGGAUCGAGAUUUUUUUUUGAACCUUUGCUGAGACUUUGCAACUCCGAAGAACACGCUGCGAGAUGCCUUGCUGCUCACGGUCGAACUUUGUGGCGGUUUUUAUAGCUGGAUUCUACAGUUUAGCCACCGCUAAAUUGCCAAAGUCGAAGACCAUUUCAAAGCUUCUCUCUUGCAUUGUAUAGAAAGUUUUCAGAGCGUACACUGGACUUUCACAUGGGCUUCCCUUUCUCGUGCCUCACAUUUGACGUCAUUUGAUGAGUUGCAGCUUUUUGAAAUCGCUGACAAAACCCAUGCUGGGAGACCAAAGAAGCGUCCUUGACUUAAACUUUUACCCCCACAAUCGCGACUGGCCAUCAACUUUGUCAAAUCCAUUCCAGCUGGGAGACCAAAGAAGCUUACAUUGAUCGCUUAAAUCCAUGGUAAGAUUGAAAGGUCAGUGUACGUUCACGGAACAUUUUUCUAAACUUUGAAGCUUGAAUAGCAUUAUACAUUCUUCUAAACAAAUCAAAUCGAGUCUGAUACUGUGGCUCUCAGCUCUAGUAAAGUUCUAUUUUGAACUCACUUCAUCAAAACAUCAUUUUUAUCCUGCAAUUGAAAAGUGACUUCGUUCAAGUCUCCUCCUGUUGAGAGGAAUAAAACAAAUGGUUUUUUUCAGAGUUCCACUCUUUAAAAUGUGAUGACGCACGUUCAUUUUCAAACUCUUAGGAAGAGAAUUAAUCUCCUCAAAGUUCAAGGUUAAGAACGAACCACAUUCCUUUACAGUCAAAUGCACCGGUGCAUCUUCUUUCUUUCUGUGGCAUCAAUGUUUUAGAUUCACUUUUGAACUCUGAGCCGAGAAAAAUUAAUGCCCUUGAUUGAGACAUCAACUUUAGAAAUUGCUUCACCUCCCAUGAAUUCCACAUUCAAGAAUUUGAGGUAGAAGAGAAAAUCUAUUUUUACACACAAACACUAUUUAACUCACUUCCAGUACUGGUUGUAGGUGUGGGUGUACACAUAUAUAACGCUAGAGCCUUCUUCCUUCUUGUCUUCCUUCUUUUUGGGGGGCUCGUAAUUGUUCUCGAUGGAACGAAGGACACUGUGAGGGCAAUCCAUCGCCUUUAGCACGUCGUCCACAUCAAAUUUUCCAAUCACCACCAGGCCUGACGACUCCGAUUCCACCUUAUCGACCCCUAUUGGGAAAACCGCACCAGAGAUUUCAUGGAAUCAGGGCCGCGAUCCAAUGCAAAGAUUGUGCUAUACCUUUGAUCUUCUUGAGCGCGUCAGUCUUCCCCUUGCAGCUUUCACAAGUUGAGAGUGUCGCCUUCUUCAUGCUUACAAGGAAAGGAAACUGGAUCGAGAAAACUAGUUGCUCGCUCAAGAUGUUUGCUUGAAGCUUGCCAGAAAAUCAAGA
rnacentral:lncRNA from 1 species